CUCUUAUUGAGAGAGGUGGAGGGAAGUGCCCUAUGAAACCCGGCAACCGUCAACUUUGUUGAAAUGGUGCCAAUUCACCCGAAGCAUACGCUUUGGAAGAUGAGAG
rnacentral:ncRNA from 1 species